GAUGAACGCUGACAGAAUGCUUAACACAUGCAAGUCAACUUGAAUUUGGGUUUUUAACUUAGGUUUGGGUGGCGGACGGGUGAGUAACGCGUAAAGAACUUGCCUCACAGCUAGGGACAACAUUUGGAAACGAAUGCUAAUACCUAAUAUUAUGAUAAUAGGGCAUCCUAUAAUUAUGAAAGCUAUAAGCGCUGUGAGAGAGCUUUGCGUCCCAUUAGCUAGUUGGAGAGGUAACGGCUCACCAAGGCGAUGAUGGGUAGCCGGCCUGAGAGGGUGAUCGGCCACAAGGGGACUGAGACACGGCCCUUAUUCCUACGGGAGGCAGCAGUGGGGAAUAUUGGACAAUGGACCGAGAGUCUGAUCCAGCAAUUCUGUGUGCACGAUGAAGUUUUUCGGAAUGUAAAGUGCUUUCAGUUGGGAAGAAACAAAUGACGGUACCAACAGAAGAAGUGACGGCUAAAUACGUG
rnacentral:rRNA from 1 species